GACGAACGCUGGCGGCGUGCUUAACACAUGCAAGUCGAACGGAAAGGCCCUGCUUUUGUGGGGUGCUCGAGUGGCGAACGGGUGAGUAACACGUGAGUAACCUGCCCUUGACUUUGGGAUAACUUCAGGAAACUGGGGCUAAUACCGGAUAGGAGCUCCUGCUGCAUGGUGGGGGUUGGAAAGUUUCGGCGGUUGGGGAUGGACUCGCGGCUUAUCAGCUUGUUGGUGGGGUAGUGGCUUACCAAGGGUUUGACGGGUAGCCGGCCUGAGAGGGUGACCGGGCACAUUGGGACUGAGAUACGGACCAGAAUCCUACGGGAGGCAGCAGUGGGGAAUAUUGCACAAUGGGCGGAAGCCUGAUGCAGCAACGCCGCGUGCGGGAUGACGGCCUUCGGGUUGUAAACCGCUUUCGCCUGUGACGAAGCGUGAGUGACGGUAAUGGGUAAAGAAGCACCGGCUAACUACGUG
rnacentral:rRNA from 1 species